AGAGUUUGAUCCUGGCUCAGAGCGAACGUUAGCGGCGCGCCUAACACAUGCAAGUCGCACGGAGUAGCAAUACUCAGUGGCGCACGGGUGCGUAACACGUAGAUAACCUGCCCUGAAGAGGGGGAUAACGUUCCGAAAGGAGCGCUAAUACCGCAUAACGCUGAGACGGGUUCGCCUGUUUCGGACAAAGGCUGGGACCAGCAAUGGCCAGUCGCUUUAGGAGGGGUCUGCGGCCCAUCAGCUAGUUGGUAAGGUAAUGGCUUACCAAGGCAAAGACGGGUAGCUGGUCUGAGAGGAUGAUCAGCCACACUGGUACUGGAACACGGACCAGACUCCUACGGGAGGCAGCAGUGGGGAAUCUUGGUCAAUGGGCGCAAGCCUGAACCAGCGACGCCGCGUGAGUGAUGAAGGCCUUCGGGUUGUAAAGCUCUGUGGGGAGGGACGAAAGACUGAGGUCUAAUAGGCUUCAGGUUGACGGUACCUCCUUAGCAAGCACCGGCUAACUCUGUGCCAGCAGCCGCGGUA
rnacentral:rRNA from 1 species